UCCCAUAUGGUCUAGUGGUUAGGAUUUGGCGCUUUCACCGUCAAGGCCUGGGUUCAAUUCCCGGUGUGAGGA
rnacentral:tRNA from 1 species